UUCCGACGCUUGGUCUCUUGGCGUCAUUCUCGAGUCCCCGACCCGCCUUCCCAGCGAUUCUGCCCCCGCCUCCCUCCCGGGCAGAAGCUCGCGCGAAUCGAGGGGAGCGAACAUGAAGGACCCGAAGGACGAAGGACCCACGCCUACCUUCCGCGCGAGCCGGGCUCUCCUUCGCGGCCCAGCAGCGCUCUCCGCCGCACGUUUUCGGGCACUGCACCAGUGGUUCCCAUGGCAACCCCCGAACUGGAGUGGAGAGUCUGUGAUGCAGCGUCCACAGUGAUCCCCUCCUGAGAGAACUAGGCCCGCUUCAAAGCAGAGUUGUUCUUGGAAUGUGUUUCUGUGCUCUUCCCAGGUAUAGCAGAUAGGAGCAAGUUUAUUUCAACUGUUUUUCAUACGCCUCCAUGCAAUCACAUUUGCUAAGUCAGGCAAGGUGGCACGCACCUUUAAUCCCAGCACUCAGGGAGGCAGAGGCAGGUGGAUCUCUGUGAGUUCGAGGCCAGCCUGGUGUACAAAGCAAGCCCAGGACAGCCAAGGCUACACAAAGAAAUUCCUGACACAGAUCAUCCAAAAUUCCUGACACAGAUCCAUGCCAUGUGUGGCUUGUCCUUGUGAUUGUAUACUACUUUGCUAAGGUGACUCAACUCUUGGAGUGUAGCUUGUCUGAUGCUCUGAAUAAAGUUGGCUCCUGCAUGA